UAAAAAUAUAAAACCAUCCGUUCAUUCCAAAACCAAUCAUAAAUGUUGUUGUGCUGGUGUGGUAGUUGUGAUUGUUAUCAUCAUGAGGUUGGUCAGCUGUGACAUUUUUUAAAACAUGUUUUUCUCUUUAAAUACUUAGCUAUUCAAGAAGGGGAACAAGAAGGAUUCCCACCGCUCUGAAUCAGAACAAGUACAGACCACUGCUGAAGAUGGCAUGCUGCCCAGCAUAGUGCCACAUGCUGCCAUGUCUGCACUGCCAAAGGAUCUCCCCGCCAGCUCCCAACAGGAGACGCCUCACAAACGUCCACUUCUCGUCAGGAUGUUUUCUGCCAUCUACAAAGGCCUGUUCAAGCCCUUCAAACAGUCCUUAAAGACCAAGUAACUUCAGACAAUUUAUUAAACGUCAUUUAUUGCAAUAAAUUGGCCUUUGUCUUCUUAUGUGCUCCCGUUAACAGACCAGAUUACAAUACUGGUCUUUUAAAUGUUAGCAGUGAUAGCAACAUUAACUAUAGUGGUGUGUGUAUAGCCCUUCUACACAGUCUGACUCUUCUGACACUGUGUGACAUGCCCUCUGAUCCAGUGAUCUAGGAUCUUCUGAGUGGCUUUAGGCCUGAAUCUCUGCCCUCCGGCCCAAAUAAAGGUUUUCUCUUCUGAUAUAUCUGCCACUGUCAGCAGCCAGCAGGGGAAAACAGACAGCGCUGUUGAGAGCUUUCUUUUCUCCCUCAUGACUAAAACACUGAGAAAGGCUUUUAUCUAUUGCAGCAUAUUCCAUCUUUUGAUUUAACCUAUUAUACGGUAGAAGUACCCAUUAUUUCCCAACGGUUAUAUCACAGGAAAUGUGUUAUAAAAAGUAAACUUACAGUGCAUCCGGAAAGUAUUCAGACCACUUGACUUUUUCCACAUUGUUACGUUACAGCCUUAUUCUAAAAUGGAUACAAAUAUUUUUUCCUCUCAUUAAGCUACACAAAACACCUCAUGACAAAGCGAAAAGUGUAGAACAUUUUAGCAAAUUUAUUAAGAAUAAAAACAGAAUUACCUUAUUUAAAUAAUUAUUGAGACCCUUUGCUAUGAGACUCGAAAUUGAUCUCAGGUGCAUCCUGUUUCCAUUGAUCAUCCUUGAGAUGUUUCUACAACUUGUUUGGAGUCCUGUGGUAAAUUCAAUUGAUUGGACAUGAUUUGGAAAGAAACACAGACCUGGGGGAAGGGUAUGAGAAACAAUAUUCUCUGAUCUGAUGAUACCGAGAUUGAACUCUUUGGCCUGAAUCAGGAUCCUGGGAAAGAUGAACGGAGCAAAGUACAGAGAUCCUUGAUGAAAACCUGCUCCAGAGGUUCACCUUCCAACAGGACAACGACC
ensembl:lncRNA